rnacentral:rRNA from 1 species
AACGAACGCUGGCGGCAUGCCUAACACAUGCAAGUCGAACGAAGGCUUCGGCCUUAGUGGCGCACGGGUGCGUAACGCGUGGGAAUCUGCCCUUUGGUUCGGAAUAACAGCUGGAAACGGCUGCUAAUACCGGAUGAUGACGAAAGUCCAAAGAUUUCUCGCCAGAGGAUGAGCCCGCGUUGGAUUAGGUGGUUGGUGGGGUAAAGGCCUACCAAGGCGAGGAUGCAUAGCUGGUCUGAGAGGAUGAUCAGCCACACUGGGACUGAGGCACGGCCCAGAAUGCUACGCAGGGGAGCAGAGGGGAAUAUUGUACAAGGGGCGCUAGUCUGAUCCAGCAAUGCCGCGUGAGUGAUGAAGGCCGUAGGGUUGUAAAGCCCUUUUACCCGGGAAGUUAAUGACUGUACCGGGAGAAUAAGCCCCGGCUAACUACGUG